rnacentral:rRNA from 1 species
GGGGUCGCGUCCUAUCAGCUUGUUGGCGGGGUGAUGGCCUGCCAAGGCUUCGACGGGUAGCCGGCCUGAGAGGGCGACCGGCCACAUUGGGACUGAGAUACGGCCCAGACUCCUACGGGAGGCAGCAGUGGGGAAUAUUGCACAAUGGGCGCAAGCCUGAUGCAGCGACGCCGCGUGCGGGAUGACGGCCUUCGGGUUGUAAACCGCUUUUGAUUGGGAGCAAGCGAGAGUGAGUGUACCUUUCGAAUAAGCACCGGCUAACUACGUGCCAGCAGCCGCGGUAAUACGUAGGGUGCAAGCGUUAUCCGGAUUUAUUGGGCGUAAAGAGCUCGUAGGCGGUUCGUCGCGUCUGGUGUGAAAGUCCAUCGCUUAACGGUGGAUCGGCGCCGGGUACGGGCGGACUGGAGUGCGGUAGGGGAGACUGGAAUUCCCG